UAAUUUAUACUGUUUUUCCCUCACUCUGAUUCCUUCCCAUCUAAUUAGACGGGAAGGAAUCAGAAUGAGGGAACAAACAGCAUAAAUA